AAAAAAAAAAAAAAAAACAAGCCAAAUUAGCUCCAAGAUCUCUUUCCCCUCUUUCAAAUAAUCUUUUAAUUUAUGUAAAGUCUUCUUAUAGCUCCCUUAUAACAUUUAUCAGAUCCUACCUGUGUUUUUGUUAUCUGAGUUUUUCAUACUCUACCCAUUCUCUCUACUUCUUCCAAUUCCAAGUCCUUGAAGCCAGGGAUUUUUGUUUCAUUCAUCUCCAACUUAUCCCUCCUCCAACUUGUUAAAUUUUUAAAAAACCCAUUCUCUGAUCAAAACCUCAAAUCUGGGAGUUCCUGUCAUGGCGCAGUGGUUAACAAAUCCGACUAGGAACCAUGAGGUUGCGGGUUCGGUCCCUGCGCUUGCUCAGUAGGUUAAUGAUCUGGUGUUGCCGUGAGCUGUGGUGUAGGUUGCAGACGCGGCUCGGAUCCCGCGUUGCUGUGGCUCUGGCGUAGGCUGGUGGCUACAGCUCCGAUUAGACUCCUAGCCUGGGAACCUCCAUAUGCCGCGAGAGCGGCCCAAGAAAUAGCAAAAAGACAAAAAAAAAAAAAAAAAAAAAAAAAAAAAAAAAAAAAAACACCUCAAAUCUGUUCUGCUUACUUAUGCAAAUGCUCUCAUUAUGAAAAUUCUACCACCUCCCAUGACUUCCAAUCCAUAGAUGCCACUCUCAGUAUUCAUCAGUCUUCCUCUGUCUUCACUUGCCUCUAGCAUUCUUCCUCUCCACGCCAGGUUAACAAUGCUAGAUAAAUUUAUAAACCCAUAUAAACUGGUACAGUGGGUUUAACAUUUUAAAAUAUGUCCUCCCCUCCAUUAGUUAUCCAUAUAACAGUAAAGUUGUUCCUUUUAAAUAUGUUAAUAGGCAGGACUCCUUUGACUGUCACAUAACUGGGUGUGUAAGUGGUUGUCUCUGACUGCUGGUUCCCAGUCCAACCCCUAGUUUAGGCACAUGGAUACCCUUCAAGAUCUAACCUCUAUUCUUGGGCUCUUUCUUAAGACCCUCCCCAAACACGCUUUACGUCUUCAGUGCUAGAUGUGGGAUCUAUGUAUGGGGAUAUUCUAUGACAAAAUGUUCAUUUCUUUUUAUAAAAGCAAAUCAAAAAAAUUAAGAGAAUAUGUACUUUUCCAAUAAUCUGAGAAACCAUCCCCCACUGAGUUCAGGCACCAGCUCUGCAGUGAAGUCUGGUUCCUCACUCUCUCCCCAGGCAUAGUAUCUCCACCCCCCUGUGUAUGUGCAUAUGUGUGUAUGUGGAAGGAUACAUCUUUGGAAAUUAGGAGCAAGCACCAUUGAAGGAAUAUGCAAUUCACUUUUACCUCAGUAGCCAUUUCUUAGAAUAAACAACAGAAUGCUCACUUUAGCUGGUACUGCUAAAAUUGCCCAUUCUUUUCCUGAAAUAGUUACUAUUAGUUCAGUUUUAAAAAUCACAGUCCAAAUUAGAAGCUAUAAAAAUCAUGUUCAAAACUGCCCUCUCUGGAUAGUCUUCUAAAAAUCAAUGAUUUAAUUUACUAAAAAUUUAAAACAGGUUUCCUAAAACCUCUAAGGGUACAUUCAACUAUUCUCCCUUUCUCCUGAAGACACUUUUUUGUCUGCCCAGAAGGUUUAAAGCAUUCUCUUUUACUUUUCCAAAACUCAGCCUCAUCACAGUCCACUGAUGUUUCCAAAAUCAACAGUGACUUCUGAGAACCAACCUCAUUUCUUUUUGACAUAUGUUACCUGCAAAAUGGCUUGGCUUUAAUUAUAGGGUUUAUAGAGUUUGCGAUCAACCCAGUGUAAAUAUUUGCUGCAGGUGGAUUUUUACCAAACCCAGAAGGUGCCUCCACAUGAAGCAAGUAGGAACCUCACUCCAUCAACUCAGAUAUGCAGGAGAUAAACUUUAUUUUUCCAUUAUUCCACUGCCUUUUUGAAUCUCUGUUCUCAUGGAGGUAGUGGGACAUCUGUUCCCAGCAAUCAGCUACUCUGCUUUUCCUGGGGCUGGCCCAACUUUCUGAGGAUAGGGGAGUGCUUUCAUUGUAGCAAGACACUGCGAAGGGCAUUUGCCAUUUGUCCACACAAAGUCUCCUCAAGCCAUCCCUUAGAGCUGUCUGCAUGACCCCUUCAAACCUGGCUGUUCUCUCCACUGUUUAUAUUCCUGAAGACCCAGGAACUGUCUGGGCUUUGGUGUCAUGCUAGGGCACCAGAAUCUCCGUGAAGUUAUCCAUGAACACAUUUGCCCAGCUUCAGCAUACUGCUAGUUCUUCUGGCAGGAAAGAUGUUGCUUCUAUGGGCACCUACCCAGGAUGAAGGGAACAGAUCACCUCUGAUCUCAGUGUCUCUGAUCGCAGAGUUUUUUGGUGGUUGGCUAUGCCCCUAAGACCUCCUCUGGAACCUGUCUUACUACAUCCCUACAUCUCUGCCCUGCUUAGUUCUCCAUAUACUUUUUCAUCCCCAUCCAAACUCCCCUUAUUCCAAGAAAUAUUUUUCUCAUCUAGGGGAAUUGUUUUGUCUAUCUCAUAAAGUUUCUUCCAAGCACUUUGGCUGAAAUCCUAUUAUGGCUCACUUCCCUCCUGAAAUGACAAGCACACACGUGCCUGCUCUAGUCCCUGGCCCCUGCUGAGUUCCUUAAGCAGCCACCAUUCCCUAGGCCUGGAGACUCUCUCAACCCUCCAUUUGGCUGCCUCCUUCUCACCCUUCCUGCCUCAGUUUAAAUGUUGCCUCUUCAAUGAAACUUUCCCUGACCACCCUAUGCAGCCAUUCAUCAUCCUCCAUUACUGUUUGUUUCCUUCAUAGCCCUAUCAUAGCUCAUUAUUUUUUGUUUCUCUUUUGUUUACCUGUUUGUUGCAUGUAUUCCCUCUAGACUGUUAAGUUCCCAGAGAGCAGAGAUUUUGUCUGUCUUAAGGUUAAGAGGAUGAACAUUGGAGCCAACCUGCCUGGGUUCUAAUCUCAGCUCUGCACUUACUAGCUAUGUGAUCUUGGGCAAAUUACUAAACCUCUCGGUAACUCAGUUUCCUCAUCUAUAAGAUGAGGGAAACAUUCCUCAUAGAGUUGUUAUAAUAGUUAAAUGAGUCAAGACCUGGCACAUAGUAAGUGCUGUCAAGUGUGUAUUAGACAAAGUACCUAGUAGUUGGUAUAAUGCCUAAAUCACAUGGGAUGCUGAAAGCAUAUUUGUUGACUAUAGAAAUUAAUAAAAGAAUGAGUGAAUGAAUGAAUGCACACUACAAGUCCAAACAUACACAGUCUUUCAUCUAUGACUCAUUUGCUCUACUAGCUGAAACACAAUGCAACAAGGUCAGGGUCAUUUGCUUGAAUCCUUAUAAAGGGCAGCAUAAUUUAUUGUUCCACAGCAACUAACUACACCUCUUAGCCUAUGUAGCUGCCUAGCAAUUGAAUAGUACUGUUUUCAAUUGGAAUGACUAAUUCUUAAUGAAUCAAUGUUUGUCACAGUUAAUAUACAAAUCACAUGUAGAACAUGACUUAUUUACUAUAGUUUCAUAUUUUCACCAGCUUCAUAAAUGAUAGCUCUUGUUUUUAAUCAUCCUACAAAAACUAUGUAAUUUUAUCAACAAUUGUCUUAGAAUCCAAAAAGAGAAGUGUAACAGCAACUUAAUUCUGGUCUACUUAAAAUUAUUUACAUGUGUAUAAAAUUCCUACUUUAUUAAAAAUUAUUACAUAACUUUAUAACUUAAUUUAUAAAUUAUUAAAUAUUUAUUUAAAAAAUCCAUAGGUAUGAAUUUACCUAUAUAUCUGGGUAUGUAGAUCAAAUUAAGUCAAGUAUUUGACUCAAGGGAUGGUCCAUAGAAAUAUCUGAAAACCUUUCUAUUCAUCCACAUGUUGACAUUUUUUUCAGUGGAAAGGAAAAGCAAAAGAAGAUAUAAAAAUGUAAGAUAUAUAAGAUACAUAUGAUAUAAAAUGAUAAAAACGAUCUUUAAAGAUGAGACAUUACUAUGAAUUUAAGAUUAUCUACCACAUCUACAAAUACAAGUAUUAUUAUUUUGACAGCUUUGUGGGCUUCAAGGUUCCUGCUUAUGAACUUUUCUCUAUAAUUAGCUUGUCCUCUGCCCACUCCAGGGCAAUAUAAAGGAAUCAUUGGCCUAGGGAGUUGGUCUAGCACUGCAUAGUCAAAAAGAAGAUUAUUCUGAUAUUAGAAAAGAGAAAUGAUUUUGAAGGCUGUGCUUACUAUGGAAAAAUCCAGCCUACAUAAGAAUGUUCUAGGUGUCCAGCACUUGUUAUCCAAGGAGCACAGGAUGGUCCCUGUGACUCCCUGAAAAGGGGAAAAAUUACUAUUUUCCCAGACUCAAUCCAUUAUCAGCUCUUGAGGAGAGCAGAGCUGUUAUAGGUAAAUAAAAGUCCUUUAAUCUGUUUGCUUAUACACUCUCCUUGAAAUUUAUUCCCGUAUGGGAAAUAUAAAACUUUUAUCCACAUAACUAACAAAAUAAAGGUGUAAGAUAGAUGCAUUCUGCCAUGACCAACCUGUCAGUUCCUGACCCUGUAAUCAUUCAGUAGUCACUGCUAAUUCAUGUUAGAUCCUGAGCUGCAUUCACAGAGCUCUGACAUGAAUAUCUACUCUAUUGAGUAGAACACCUGAGAAGUUUUCUCUGAUUAAUGUGUCUAACAGCAAAAUGUUCUAUAUUCUACCACUAAUACAUUACGUACUCAAGUAGCCUAACUUCUAACACUUACCUCUCUUUUCCGCUUUCCUUGGGUCUCAUGUCCCAAUUUUAAAAUCCCUCUGACUAUAUGGCCAUAUAUAGAAAUGCUAUCUCCCUAUUACACUUGAUUUUAUGCCAAUACCAUGAUUCAUUUUAUAUAGGCAGCUCAAUCUAGCAUUACCUCUCCAGCCUAACAUCUCAUUGUGUUUUGUUUAGCUCACUGGAUCAAAAAUAUAUUGCCAUGUCAUUUUCUCCACUGGAAAACAUAUUUACUAUCAUUUUUUUUUUCAUGGAAAUCUGACUUUAUCCUUUGCACACUGCUCAUCUCCCCCACCAAUGCCUCUCUCCACCCCACAUAAUUCUUUCAUCAUUUCAAUAAAUUGAUAUAUUGGAAUGGAAAAAAUUUAUUUCAGUCUCAGGGAUCAAUUUAUGAUAAUCUUAAAUAAGUCGCUUUUUAAUUGAUGAGUCUACUGCAAAUUGCAUACUUCAGUUUACUCUGUACAGAAUACAAUUAAACUAAGGCAAAGCUGGUUAUGACUCAUGUAUAAUAAAAUGAAAACAGUAUCAUCAUUAAAUACCAAAUAAAGCCAUUGAUUCUGUGUAUUAUUCUGUCAGUUUUAAUUGAAUUGCAUUUUCCCCCUUUCAGUUCUUAAUUAUGCAGUUCAUGCUGAAUCUUUAUUUUUGUGCACAGAAUGGGAUAAUGUUCUCUUCUUUCUUACCUUAGUGUCUAAAAAUAUAAGUUUACUGAGAACAGAAAAGUCUUUGUUGGUCUUAAUUAAAGCAAAACACCUGCUUUUAUCCUGGGAGCUGAAUGUGUUGCUGUACUGAGACUGUUACCAAGUGAGGGGACAAUAGGGCUGCUUCCUGUUGCACGUCCUUCUUCCUGACCUGUGGUUUCAGCCUCUUUCCAAAUUCUAUCAGAAGAGGAAAACCGAGACAUCACACUGCCCAGCCAAGAAGAUUCAGGGGACCUCUCUAGCCUGCUAAUGAGCAUUAACUCUGUCUACACUGUCAAGUCUAGUACAAAGUGAAGUAGCUACUACUGAACAUGGGUGUAAAUUUGGUUAGUGAGAUAAUAAUCUAAAAAUUCAUUCUUUUCUUCAGUUGACUUGUGAAAGACUUAAAGGUAAAAGCCAGACUUUCUUCUCUGAUAUGUGCCACCCAACUGAGAUCAUGUGCAAGUGAAAACAAAUAAGAGGAGACGGAAUAAGUGUAGAUACCUAGAUAUGAAGGAAAGUCUGCGACUACAAUGUAAUUCCUUUAAUUCAAAACAGGCAAAGGGAACACAACUUCUACUCUUCCCUCUUCCAGUAAAGGUGCUGUCUAUUUCUAAAGCGCUUCUGCCAGAUUCAAGUCCAUCCAUCACUCUAACAGCAACACAACUUUAUUUCUAAGACUCAAUUCAGAGGAGCCAGAUGCUCUUGUCUAGAGGUAUCAAUGACAGCAAGUAGUGGGCAAGUUAUUGACCUUGGAGCAUAUGAUAAAGGCAAAAUAUUGAAUUUUCCAGUAGGACAGUGUCCCAACAGAAACCUAACUUGGUGAAUAAAUCUCAGAACUGAGAAUCAAGGGAUGACCUGGGGUUAGUCCAAAUGAUAUUCAAUAUGCACUGAGUAAAUAAAGAGAGAAGAUUAUUAGCACAGUCUAGAAGCACAGAUACCCAGUUCCUGAGUCAAGAGAAGCGAAUUUGGACAUGUCCUGGAUGUUGAGGAAUUGGCCUCUGGGACUGAGAACACCUAAUCACCGUUGAGGAGCUGGGUCUCCGUGGAAUAUCUCCUAGCUCUGGCAUAUCAGACUCUGUCACACAUGCAGCUUUAUCUCCAGUCUCCAUGCCAAUGGAGAAAACUGUCUAAGAAUGAGAAAAGGCACUAAUCUUCUUGUACUCAUUUUACCCAUGUUGAACCUCGUCUGCCCAAAUUUCCUUGUACCAUGUACUGCAAAUCAUUCAAAUAAGCUUAUUCCAAUUCCACCUCUUUUUCAUUCCCAACCAACCCUUA
rnacentral:lncRNA from 1 species